GAUGAACGCUGGCGGCGUGCUUAAUACAUGCAAGUCGAGCGAACAGACGAGGCGCUUGCUCCUCUGACGUUAGCGGCGGACGGGUGAGUAACACGUGGAUAACCUACCUAUAAGACUGGGAUAACUUCGGGAAACCGGAGCUAAUACCGGAUAAUAUAUUGAACCGCAUGGUUCAAUAGUGAAAGACGGUUUUGCUGUCACUUAUAGAUGGUUCCGCGCCGCAUUAGCUAGUUGGUAAGGUAACGGCUUAUCAAGGCGACGAUGCGUAGGCGACCUGAGAGAGGGAUCGGCCGCACUAGAGCUGAGACACGGUCCAGGCUCCUACGAGAGGGAGCAGUAGGGUAUCGGCCGCAAUAGUCGAGAACCUGACGGAACAACGCCGCGUGAGUUGUGAAGAUCUUCGGAUCGUAAAACUCUGUUAUUAGGGAAGAACAAAUGUGUAAGUUACUAUGCACUUCUUGACGGUACCGAAUCAGAAAGCCACGGCUAACUACGUG
rnacentral:rRNA from 1 species